UGUGGUUCUUAUUUCUCGUAUGUUUAUUAGCAUUGAGACAUAUUCUUUCAAACUGUAGUUUUGUCUAUAUUCAUGAUUAUUUCUUUAGGAUAUACUCUGAAAGUGAAAUUACACAUGCUAAGGAUAUAGACACUUUAAAGCUAUGAUACCUCUUGCCAGCAUCCCUGCUGAAAAUUUGUGCCAAUUUCUCCGUCUGACGCUGUGUGAGAAUUUUGAUUCUUUCCCACAUGGUCACCAAUACUGCAAAUUAUCAGUUUUAACCUUUGCUAAUUUGAUAUGAGAACAAUUUCAUAGAAUUUAAAUUUAUAUUUCCACUGUUCCUUAGACAUACUCCUCAAGUGCACCAGCUGUUCCAGUUUCUGUUCUAGGCUCUGGAGGCACAGCAGUGGAUAAGGGAGAUAUUCUGAAGGGGAGACAUAUUCUGAGCAAACAUGGAGCAAGGAGAGGUCAUGGCUAAUUACCACCCCUAAAACAGCAGGAGUAAACAAGUGAAGAAAAUAUUUGUUGAGAGUGAAAAGUCCCAUGAAGAAAAGACUACACACAAUGUGAUUCCAUCUAUAUGAAAUUCUACCAAAGGGAAAUUUUAUCUCAAUUGGCAGAAAAUCAGCCUGAAAAUUACCAGGGCCUGAAAAAUCAAGAUCCCCGAUUGAGGAUGGCAUGGUUCACAUGUUCAUCAGACAUCAUUCUAAUCCUGAUUCUGCAAGAGAGUCUUCGUCUUCGACUGUUGUGGAAGGAGCACUUCAAAAUAGACGUAAUAUAUUUAACCUAUUGGAGAGCAGACAACUGUAUAUUUAAGAAGAAGCAAAUUGGGGUUUUUUUUUUCUUAAAAUAAUCUGUGUGUCCAAUAGAACCUCACUCCACAC
rnacentral:lncRNA from 1 species